AUGGAGGACGAGCAGCCCGACAGCCUGGAGGGCUGGGCGCCGCUCCGGGAGGGCCUCUUCGCCGAUCCCCAGAGGCACCGGUUGCGCUUCCUGGUGGCUUGGAACGGCGCGGAGGGCAAGUUUGCUGUGACUUGUCACGACCGCACCGCGCAGCAGCCGCAGCGGCGCGAGGGGGCCCGGCUGGGGCUGGAGCACAAGCCCGAGGCCGCCGUGUCCCCGCCCAGCUGGGCCGGCCGGCUCUCGGCCGCGGGGUUCCGCGGCGCGCGCCGGCAGCCAGCGGCGCUGUGGCCGCCUCUGGAACACUGCUUCCCACGGCUGCCGCCGGAGCUGGACGUGGGCGGCGGCGGGGCCUGAGGUCUGGGGCUCGGGCGGUGGGCGCUGCUCUGGCCGGCGCGCGUGGGCCCCGGCGAGGCGGCGCUGCAGGAGCUUUGCGGGCAGCUGGAGCGCUACCUGGGCGCGGCGGCCCACGGCUGUGGCGGCGCCACCGUGCGCGACGCUCUCUUCGCGGCUAAGGGCCGCGCGGCCGACUGCGAGAGCCCGCGCGAGUUUCGGGAGCGGGCCCUGCGCGCCUGAUGGGUCGAGGCGGACGCGCGGCUGCGUCAGGUUAUUCAAGGACACGGAAAAGCCAACACCAUGGUAGCAUUAAUGAAAGUUUACCAAGAGGAAGAUGAAGCCUACCAGGAAUUAGUUACCGUGGCAACCACGUUCUUCCAGUACUUAUUGCGGCCAUUUAGGGCUAUGCGAGAAGUUGCAACUUUAUGUAAGCUUGAUAUUUUGAAGUCCUUGGAUGAGGAUGACCUAGGUCCUAGAAGGGUAGUUGCCCUGGAGAAAGAAGCUGAAGAAUGGACCAGACGGGCUGGAGAAGCUGUCGUCUCUAUUCAAGAUAUCACAGUGAAUUAUUUUAAGGAGACAGUAAAAGCAUUAGCAGGAGUUUCUGAUAUAUUGCACAGAAUCAACAAGAUAUAAAGCAGAAUGAUGAUCCUGGUUUUUUGGUCAAACUAUCCAUAUGAGCCUGUCUGUCUAGCUAGUCAUAGAAACAAUAUGGAAGCAAGUGUGCCAAAAUAUAAGAAGCAGUUGCCUCAACUAGGAAUGCAAAAAGAAAUGGAACAGGAUGUGAAGAGACUUGGCCAGGCUGCCUGGGCCACAGCAAUUCCCAGGUUGGAAAAACUUAAGCUAAUGCUAGCUCAAGAGACUCUGCAACUCAUGAGAGCGAAAGAAUUGUAUUUAAAUUGCAAAAGAGCUGAAAUUCAGGGAAAGAUGGAAGAUCUUCCAGAACAAGAAAAAAAUAUAAAUGUUGUAGAUGAAUUAGAAAUACAAUUUUAUGAAAUUCAGUUAGAACUAUAUGAAGUUAAAUUUGAGAUAUUAAAAAACAAAGAAAUACUGCUUACUACACAGUUGGACUCUCUUGAAAGACUUAUAAAAGAAAAACAGGAUGAAGUUGUCUAUUACGAUCCAUGUGAAAGUCCAGAGGAACUUAGUCAUUGACUGUGGUGGGGCUGCAGGACGAUAAGAAUUCGGAAGUGAAAGAACUCAGAAGGCAGUGCCAGCAGCUGGAGUCUAUUAAACGGGGCAGGAUCUGUGUCAAAAGAGCUUCUCUCCAGAGUAGAAAGGAUCAGUGCAAAGAAAAUCAUUGGCUCAGAUUGCAACAGGCUGAAGAAAGCAUAAGAUAUUCUCGUCAGCAUCACAGUAUUCAGAUGAGACAAGAUAAAAAGGAGCAAAAGAAAAAAGAAUGGGUCAACCAAGAACGUCAAACACUCCAACGAUUGAGAGCAUUUAAAGAUGUAAGUUCUAUAAACAAUCACCUCAUCUACACUUCUGGGGAAAUAAAUGAAGACCGCUCUAAAGAGGAAAGUAUUAAGAACAGGUCAUUCAGAACAUGAAACAUUUAAAAAAUAACAUUAUUUCUGGUAUAUCAAUAAAAAGCAACAACAAAAAUAGAAUAUCAGUGAUUCAAAACCCAUGAUAUAAAAUAACUGCUGUUUUUAACAUCACAACACGCUUGGGUUCCUGCUCUGCACUCUUCACUGAGUAGUCCUUACUGGCACUGGUGGUUUAGAUUGGCAGGGAAAACUGAAAACUGUUCAACUCCCUUGACUUUAGCUGGCAUUUCCUCUCAUUUGUAAUAAACAAUUCUUUAAAAUGUUAUCCAGGCAGCAUUGUGAUAUAAGUGUAGUGAAAGUGCCCAGUUAAAAGUAAAAUGUGUUGUUGUUUUUUUUUGAUAUCUACAACUUUCUUUUUUCUUUUUUUUUAAAGUAUAUACUUAAGAGGAUGAUGUUAUUUUUUUAUGCCCUCUGUUCCAGGCCUACAUUUGUAUUUCCUCCACAAAAUGAUCCUCAGUCUGUAAUUUUUGUUCUAUUUGACUUUAUUAUUAGAGAUAAAUUCCUUUAAUUAAAAAAAAGCUACUAUGAAGGUUGAAAAAAUAAUUUUUUGGUUUUAUUUUUAAUUGACACAUAAUUGUACAUAUUUAUGAGGUAUAGUGUGAUAUUUUGAGGUAUAUAAUAUGGAAUGAUCAAAUCAGGGUAAUUAGCGUAUCUAUCACCUCAAACAUUUAUCUACAGGUAAAUAGGUUUUUUAAAAUAAAGUAAAUAGGGAGUCUGGCACAGUGGCUCAUGCCUAUAAUCCCAGCACUUUGGGAGGCUGAGGCGGGCGGAUUGCUUGAGACCAUGAAUUUGAGACCAGGCUGGGCAACAUGGUGAAACCCCAGCUCUCCUAAAAAUACAAAAAUUAGCUGGACAUGGUGGUGCAUGCCUGUAGUCCCAGCUACUUGGGAGGAAAAAUACCAAUUGUGCACAUAUUUUUGUAAAAUUAUACAUAAACACUUUAUUUUUUAUGUCAUUCUAAAUAAUUUUUUGUAUGUUUCUAUUUCCAAACGUUGUUUGGUAAUAUAUAGAAAUAUGAUUGAUUUUGUUUAUUGAGUUUGCAUAUAACCACAUUACUAAACUCGCAUAUUGAGCAUUUUAAUAGGUUAUUUUGAAUACUUUUACAUAGACUGUUGUCUGAAAAUAGAAACAGGUUUAUUUCUUCCUUUCUGAUGUGGAUGUCACUGAUUUUUUUCCCUACAUUACUGAUCUGGCUAGGACUAUCAGUAUAAAGUUGAAUAUAAGUGGUAAAAGAUCUGACUUCUUGCCUUGGACCCAGUUUUUAAAUCAGUUGGAGAGUCACCAUUAAGUGUAAUUUAGUGGUAGUUUUGUUUGUUUUUUUUUUGUUUGUUUUGUAGAUGCCCUCUAUCAGGAUAAGUUCCCUUUUCUCAUUUUGCUGAGAGUUUUUAUAAAGAAUAGCUAUUGAAUUUUGUCAAAUGCUUUUGCUGCAUCUGCUGAAAUGACACGUUUAUUCUUCAUCUACCUAAUAAUGUUGCAAUUUAUAUCUGUUGAGCUUUGAAUGUUGAACCAGCCUUGCAUUCAUGGUAUAAAUCACUUGUUUGUAAAGUAUUGUUUUUAAAUAUUGCUAGAUUUGAUAUCUUAGUAUUGUAUUUUUAUAUUUGUCUUCAUGUGUUUUUGUUUUCUCAUAAGUGUCUGUACCCCCCUUUUUUUUUCUUUAAAGAGAAAUAAUGAGAGAGAUUGUCUCUCUUGAAGUUCUCAGUGCCUGUGCAUUGCUGCCACUACACAGCUAGUAUCAUGACAGCAGCUUCAGAACCAGAGCUGGCUUCCAGGCAAGGCUGGGUGGGGAAGAAAGAGAAAAACAAAAGAAUUAUUUCUCUAUGCCGAGACCAGCUCGGUCAGGGAGACCCUAACCUAGCGGUGCUAGAGGAAUUAAAGACAUAGACACAGAAAUAUAGAGGUGUGAAGUGGGAAAUCAGGGGUCUCACAGCCUUCAGAGCUCAGCCACAAACAGAGAUUUACCCACGUAUUUAUUAACAGCAAGCCAGUCAUUAGCAUUGUUUCUAUAGAUAUUAAAUUAACUAAAAGUAUCCCUUAUGGGAAACGAAGGGAUGGGCCGAAUUAAAGGAAUAGGUUGGGCUAGUUAACUGCAGCAGGAGCAUGUCCUUAAGGCACAGAUCACUCAUGCUAUUGUUUGUGGUUUAAGAAUGCCUUUAAGCGGUUUUCCACCCCGGGCAGGCCAGGUGUUCUUUGCCCUCAUUCCAGUAAACCCACAACCUUCCAGUAUGGGUGUUAGGGCCAUUAUGAACAUGUUACAGUGCUGCAGAGAUUUUAUUUAUGGCCAGUUUAUGGCCAGAUUUUGGGGGGCCUGCUCCCAACACUCUACAUAUGCUCCAUCUUGCAGAGGCUUCAUUCUUGGUUCUCUAGCUAAAAACAGUAGAAAUUUUGCACACCUGGGUUAGAAAAAAAAAAAAUAGCCAUUAAACCCACCCCUGUUACAGGUCACUAUUGGUAUUUUGAUUUUGCCUUCAAUCCAUCUGUUAUUGUUUACUUUUAAGAGUCCUUGAUAGUUGCUUUUUAUGUCCAGAGUUUUAAUUUCAGUCAGAAAGAGAAAUAGGCCUUGGUGAGCAUGCUUUGUCUUGGCUGGUGCCAGAAGUCAGUACUCAAAUAUUUUUAAAAUAAUUUUUAGUUGAAUAACAAGUUAGACCUGUGUUUAGCUUUCUCAUUGUUUUCCUAAAAAUAGAAGAAAAGGUUUUAAAUACUUUAACCACGAAAUAAUUUAAAGCAGGUUUAAAAUAAACUCCUUCAUUUUGCCUGUUCUAUUACUCUGUUCUCACACUGCUAAUAAAGACAUACCCAAGACUGGUAAUUUAUAAAGUAAAGAGGUUUAAUUGACUCACAGUUCCACAUGGCUGGGGAGGCCUCCCAAUCAUGGCAGAAGGUGAAUGAGGAGCAAAGUCACAUCUUACAUGGUGGCAGGCAAGAGAGAGAGCAUGUGUGCAGGGGAAUUCCCCUUUAUAAAACCAUCCAAUCUCAUGAGACUUAUGCAGUCUCAUGGGAGCAGCAUGAGAAAGACUCACCUCCGUGAUUCAGUUACCUCCCACUGUGUCCCUGCCACAACAUGUGGGAAUUGUGGGAACUAAAAAUCAAGAUGAGAUUUGGGUAGGAACACAGUCAAACCAUAUCUCCUAUAUACAUUCACACUAGCAUUUUAGUUUUAGAACUAGUUCUAUGUUACUAUCUGAAUUAAUUUUUCCACAAUUUUGUAAGGAAAAAUAAUGCGUUCUUUGAAUUUCAUGUGUAAAUGAUAUUUUUAGUUUUGUGUCAUUUUGUCAAAUAAAUUCUGAAAAUCUUUGUAUUGACAGUGUGUUAUCUCUGCAUAACCAUAUAUGUAUAAGAGUGCUCAAUAAAAAGAAUAAAGAGGAAACA